GACUAAGGUUCAUUUCCAUCUCUUUUCCCUACAUUACCAACACAAAGAAGGGAAGAUAAGAGAUGGACAAAAGAACCAAAGUCAUUACAAGAAAGUUACCCUAACAGACCAAACUAAAAUACUAACCAAAAACACAAACAAAUAAUACAAACAAUAUGCAUAUAGGCCCAUCAACCCUAUUUUCUUCCUUUUCCCCUCUCCUCUUUUGCUUCAUUAUUACCAAAAGAAAUUAUUG
rnacentral:misc_RNA from 1 species